GACGAACGCUGGCGGCGUGCUUAACACAUGCAAGUCGAACGGAAAGGCCCUGCUUUUGUGGUGUGCUCGAGUGGCGAACGGGUGAGUAACACGUGAGUAACCUGCCCUUGACUUUGGGAUAACUUCAGGAAACUGGGGCUAAUACCGGAUAGGAGCUCCUGCUGCAUGGUGGGGGUUGGAAAGUUUCGGCGGUUGGGGAUGGACUCGCGGCUUAUCAGCUUGUUGGUGGGGUAGUGGCUUACCCAGGCUUUGACGGGUAGCCGGCCUGAGAGGGUGACCGGCCACAUUGGGACUGAGAUACGGCCCAGACUCCUACGGGAGGCAGCAGUGGGGAAUAUUGCACAAUGGGCGGAAGCCUGAUGCAGCAACGCCGCGUGCGGGAUGACGGCCUUCGGGUUGUAAACCGCUUUCGCCUGUGACGAAGCGUGAGUGACGGUAAUGGGUAAAGAAGCACCGGCUAACUACGUG
rnacentral:rRNA from 1 species